rnacentral:lncRNA from 1 species
AACAUUAAAACUACCCGAUGGAUUUUUUAGGGGCAUCGGCAGCAGUUCUACAUUAACAAUGGAUCCGAUAUGAAUAAGGUCCCCCGAUAUUUUUGAGGGGCAACCACAGUUUUACAUGAACAAUAGAUCCGGUAUGAAUAAGAUCUGACUAAACCCAAACACGGGACUGGUACCGAGAUCCACAACCCAAACACGGGACUGGUACCGGGGAGCCACAACCCAAACACCAAACACGGGACUGGUACCGGGGAGCCACAACCCAAACACGGGACUGGUACCGGGAGCCACCAAGACAAACUGCUUCAGGUUUUUUUUAUUUUAAACUCCUCAACUAAGGUUUUUGAUUUUAAACUUCCCAACUACACGGCUCGUCCAAAUACCGGAUCCGAACCCGGACCCAGUACGAAUAAAACGCAACUGAACGCAGAACAAAUAUAAUUAGAACACAACACACAGGAGCCAUUCCAGAACCAGAACUCGAAUCCGGUCCAAAAACCACAACCCGACAAACCAGUUUAAGGUAUUCGAUUUCAAGCUCCCCACAAGACAAAGUGAUCCAACGAUCUAG